rnacentral:rRNA from 1 species
GUUAGGAAUAUUGGACAAUGGGCGCAAGCCUGAUCCAGCCAUGCCGCGUGAACGAUGAAGGCCUUCGGGUUGUAAAGUUCUUUAGCCGAUGAUUAUAAUGACUGUAGUCGGAAAAUAAGCCCCGGCUAACUUCGUGCCAGCAGCCGCGGUAAUACGAAGGGGGCGAGCGUUAUUCGGAAUCACUGGGCGUAAAGCGUGCGUAGGCGGUCUCGUAAGUUAGGAGUGAAAGCCCAGGGCUCAACCUUGGAAUUGCUCUUAAUACUGCAAGGCUAGAAUCUCGGAGAGGAUAGCGGAAUUUCCAGUGUAGCAGUGAAAUGCGUAGAUAUUGGAAGGAACACCAGUGGCGUAAGCGGCUAUCUGGACGAGUAUUGACGCUGAGGCACGAAAGCGUGGGGAUCAAACAGGAUUAGAUACCCCUGUAGUCC